ACAGAUAGUCAGAUAAGUUAGAAUAGGCUAGCCUAGAGACUAGAUUUUUUAUCAGUGACCGGUGAAACUGGCUACCAAAAUCGCCGAGCCACACGUGUUCUAUUUUCAAAUCAAAUCCAAAGUGUAGUGUCAGUGGCGAUUGUGUACAGGAGGUGUUAUUGCAAGGAGUGAGGAAGGGUGGGGAGGAGGUACUCACGGCCAGCCUGAGCAGCAAGUUAACGACCACAUCGACGUGUUGCCUGUCCAACGGCUUGGCGGCGUCUGGCUCCAUCCGCGCGGCGCUGGCCUGCGGACUCGCCCAGCCGGUGUUGAGAGCCUUACGAGCUUCGGAACUGCUCUCGUCUGAGGAGACGCGCUUCAUUGCGCCGCUUGGUGAUGUGGCCACCUGGGUGUUAGAAGGAGAUAAUAGAAAUGUUUCAUUGGAAGUAGAUUUUAUCAUAUUUAUUGAAAUACAUGUAAAAUUGCGAAUGUA